UGGAGGCAUUUUCUGAGGCUUCUUCCUAUUCUGGUGUGUAUGAAGCUAACAUAAAACCAACCAGUACAGCAUCCAACUGCUCAUCAUUGUCUACACAACCCUACAGGACAAGCAGGCCUCUGUCAGGAUUCUCCUCUCAACAGAUCCUGUUCCACUUGAUACUGAGCCAAGCACAGUAGGAGCUGUUUG
rnacentral:lncRNA from 1 species